rnacentral:snRNA from 1 species
GGAUGUGAGGGCGAUCUGGCUGCGAUAUCAGUCACCCCAUUGAUCUCUGGGGUUGAUUGGCUGAUCUGGCUGGCUAGGCGGGUGUCCCCUUACUCCCUCACCACUCCUAUAGUUGUGCUCUCUGUCGAAGAGGACAGCCUUCUCCGAAUAGAGACGGACCAGUCUUCAGUCGAGGGUAUAUGAGUAGCUGCUGGAUCCCAGUUCAAGCCCCCGGCUCCCCACCUGCAGGGGCGUCGCUUCACAGGUGAUGAAACAGGUCUGCAGAUGACUUUCUCU